rnacentral:rRNA from 1 species
CCUACGGGCGGCAGCAGUGAGGAAUAUUGGUCAAUGGGCGGAAGCCUGAACCAGCCAAGUAGCGUGCGGGAUGAAGGCCCUACGGGUCGUAAACCGCUUUUGCACGGGGAUAACACCCUCCACUUGUGGAGGUCUGCAGGUACCGUGCGAAUAAGGGCCGGCAAAUUCUGUGCCAGCAGCGGCGGUAAUACGGAAGGCCCGGGCGUUAUCCGGUGUCAUUGGGCUUAACGGGAGCGUAGGCGGGCGUUCAAGUCAGCUGUACAAUCGCGGGGCUAAACCGGGCACCGCAGUUGAAACUGGACGGCUUGAGUUCACAACAGGCAGGCGGAAUUCGUGGUGUAGCGGGGAAAUGCGUAGAU